rnacentral:rRNA from 1 species
CACAGACAGCUAGGAGGUUGGCUUAGAAGCAGCCACCCUUUAAAGAAAGCGUAAUAGCUCACUAGUCGAGUCGGCCUGCGCGGAAGAUAUAACGGGGCUAAACUGAUAACCGAAGCUGUGGAUGCGCAUUUAUGCGCAUGGUAGAGGAGCGUUCUGUAAGCCGUUGAAGGUGAAUCGUAAGGUUUGCUGGAGGUAUCAGAAGUGCGAAUGCUGACAUGAGUAACGAUAAGGGGGGUGAAAAACCCCCCCGCCGAAAGAUCAAGGUUUCCUGUCCAACGUUAAUCGGGACAGGGUGAGUCGGCACCUAAGGCGAGGGCGAAGGCCGUAGUCGAUGGAAAAUCGGUUAAAAUUCCGAUACCGAUUCUUACUGCGAUGGAGGGACGGAGCAGGCUAGGCUAGCACGGCGUUGGUAGUCCGUGUUUAAGCGUGUAGGUAGGGGGAUUAGGUAAAUCCGGUUCCCUGUUGAUCUGAGACGUGAUGACGAUCUCUUGGGGCGACCCUUGAGAGAAGUAGUUGAUGCCAUACUUCCAGGAAAAUCUUCUAAGCUUCAGGUAAGAAUUGACCGUACUGUAAACCGACACAGGUGAUCAGGUAGAGAAUACCAAGGCGCUUGAGAGAACUUGGGUGAAGGAACUAGGCAAAAUGGCACCGUAACUUCGGGAGAAGGUGCGCCGGUGACGGUGAUGGACCUUGCGUCCUAAGCUGUUGCCGGUCGAAGUAACCAGGCCGCUGCGACUGUUUAUUAAAAACACAGCACUCUGCAAACUCGUAAGAGGACGUAUAGGGUGUGACGCCUGCCCGGUGCCGGAAGGUUAAUUGAUGGGGUUAUCUUCGGAGAAGCUCUUGAUCGAAGCCCCGGUAAACGGCGGCCGUAACAAUAACGGUCCUAAGG